rnacentral:rRNA from 1 species
CCUACGGGGGGCAGCAGUGGGGGAUAUUGCACAAUGGGGGGAACCCUGAUGCAGCGACGCCGCGUGGGUGAAGAAGCGCCUCGGCGCGUAAAGCCCUGUCAGCAGGGAAGCAAAUGACGGUACCUGAAGAAGAAGCCCCGGCUAACUAAGUGCCAGCAGCCGCGGUAAUACGUAGGGGGCAAGCGUUAUCCGGAUUUACUGGGUGUAAAGGGGGCGCAGACGGCGAUGCAAGCCAGGCGGGAAAGCCGGGGGCCCAACCCCGGGACUGCUCUUGGAACUGCGGGGCUGGAGUGCAGGAGGGGCAGGCGGAAUUCCUGGUGUAGCGGUGAAAGGCGUAGAUAUCAGGAGGAACACCGGUGGCGAAGGCGGCCUGCUGGACUGCAACUGACGUUGAGGCCCGAAAGCGUGGGGAGCAAACAGGAUUAGAUACCCUGGUAGUC